UACGUAUGGUGCAAGCGUUAUCCGGAUUUACUGGGUGUAAAGGGAGCGCAGGCGGCACGGCAAGCCUGAUGUGAAAGCCCGCGGCCCAACCGCGGGACUGCAUUGGGAACUACCGGGCUGGAGUGCCGGAGAGGUAGGCGGAAUUCCUAGUGUAGCAGUGAAAUGCGUAGAUAUUAGGAAGAACACCAGUGGCGAAAGCGGCUCUCUGGUCUGUAACUGACGCUGAGGUUCGAAAGCGUGGGUAGCAAACAGG
rnacentral:rRNA from 1 species